CAAUAGCGUAUAUUAAAGUUGUUGCGGUUAAAAAGCUCGUAGUUGGAUUUCUGCCGAGGACGACCGGUCCGCCCUCUGGGUGAGUAUCUGGCUCGGCCUGGGCAUCUUCUUGGAGAACGUAGCUGCACUUGACUGUGUGGUGCGGUAUCCAGGACCUUUACUUUGAGGAAAUUAGAGUGUUUCAAGCAGGCAUACGCCUUGAAUACAUUAGCAUGGAAUAAUAAGAUAGGACCUCGGUUCUAUUUUGUUGGUUUCUAGAGCUGAGGUAAUGAUUAAUAGGGAUAGUUGGGGGCAUUCGUAUUUAACUGUCAGAGGUGAAAUUCUUUGAUCCGCUGAAGACUAACUUAUGCGAAAGCAUUCACCAAGGAUGUCUUCUUUAAUCAAGAACGAAAGUUGGGGGAUCGAAGAUGAUUAGAUACCGU
rnacentral:rRNA from 1 species